GAAAUUGAUAGAUCGAUGAUCAGUUCAAAUUAUUGUAUUUGCGAUGAACGAUGUUAAAGUGAUUUAUGGAUAAGCUUUUAUUGUCAUCAUCUGAAGCUUGACUUGGAUUUCGUGGUAAACAGUGCUAAAUCUAAUUGCAAUCAGUGGUCCAACACAAUAAUUAUGAUAACAGUGUUACCAUUAAAUUGCCAUUUUCCCUGUUGUUGCUUGGUUCACUCGAGGAUUUGUUUGCGUUUGUUUGGUCCAUUUUAUUGAGAUGUACAGAUUAACGAACUUUAAAGUUAAAAAUAGAUUUGGUGGCAAUUAAUCAACUGAUGCUUCUACAAGUGUUUUACAAUUGUUAAUGACAUUGAAUGUAAUCAUGGAUGGUGACGAUAAUGAUUGCUGAAUUCAUUAUGUUGAUUGGUUUGUUAACAAUUGCAAGAAAAAUAUUGGACUUUUCACUUGCCUUACCUCACAAUCAAAUGUUGCUGCUUUUGUUGUUGUUAUGGAUUAUUUUUCCUACCUGAUCAUUCAUUACAGUUGGUAAAAUAUGUGUCCUUUUGUCUCAUAUGGCUACAAGUGAUAAUCCUGACGGCCAGCUAAAUCUAUCCUUUUAAUGUGUAGUUACUAGUCCACAUGAUUUACAGUUUUAUUAUUGUUUGAUUUUAUUAGAAAAUUUCACUUGAUUUUGUGAUUGCUGUGUAAUCCAGUUUAUUCAAGUUCACCUAAAAACUGAAAAUCCAUUGAAGACAAGGAUCGCCGGGAGAUAAUCCAGGAUAACCUCAAAUCUGUUGAGGUUGAAAAGGUAUCCGAAAUGUCAUGGUUAAAUUACUGACCUGAAAUAAGUGAUACUUACUAUUUUUGGCAACUCAUUUCAUAUUAUUACUGAGUUUACCUCGAUUGGACUCAAAAUGAAAUCAUUGGACAGCAAGUUGAUCAACUUUAACCUUAUCAUCGUUAUUAGUUGUUUUAUUUUAUCUGCAAAUGCUGAGACGGGUAAUGUGUUGGACAAUGGCUCUAAUACAAGUGACGAUAAACAAAUUUUAACAUUAAUCAAAUCAUUGUUCAUAAAUCAAAAGGCUACUCCUCGAUUAACUCUAGACUUUUUGGCCGAUCCAGCUUUAUUUGUGUCAAUAUUACAUGCUCUUGAAGUUGCUUAUUGGUCAAUGCCAUUUGGCUUCUUAUUAAUGCCAAUAAUUAAUCUGUUUCGAAUGCCAAAUCGACGACAAUGGAAAAGAUUUUUAAUGUUAUCAAGAUCUUUGAGAAGAAGUGAUUUAAAUCGUUAUCAAGAAAAUCUUAUAAAAGCCAUGGAGAGGUACUCAAUUGACCACGACAAUUAAAAACCCGAAUUACAAAGCUAUCCUGAAAUAUUGACAUAAGUUGAUAGCCAGUCAAUUAGAUGCACGCCAGCUAGUAAUGAGUGGAAAAAGAUUUUUUGAUUGAACUUUUUAAAUUUUAUUAUUGAAAUAAAUAAUUCAAUGAAAAAUUGGAAAAAUAU